GAUGAACGCUGGCGGCGUGCCUAAUACAUGCAAGUCGAGCGAGCAGACGAGGAGCUUGCUCCUCUGACGUUAGCGGCGGACGGGUGAGUAACACGUGGAUAACCUACCUAUAAGACUAGGAUAACUUCGAGAAACCGGAGCUAAGACCGGAUAAUAUAUUGAACCGCAUGGGUCAAUAGUGAAAGACGGUUUUGCUGUCGCGUAUAGAUGGAUCCGCGCCGCAUUAGCUAGUUGGUAAGGUAACGGCUUACCAAGACAACGAUGCGUAGCCGACCUGAGAGAGUGAUCGGCCACACUGGAACUGAGACACGGUCCAGACUCCUACGGGAGGCCGCCGUAGGGACUCUUCCGCAAUGGGCGAAAGCUUGACGGCGCAAUGCCGCGUGAGUGAUGAAGGUCUUCGGAUCGUAAAACUCUGUUACUAGGGAAGAACAACUGUGUAAGUAACUAUGCACGUCUUGACGGUACCUAAUCAGAAAGCCACGGCUAACUCCGUG
rnacentral:rRNA from 1 species